UCUGAGGGAGUAGAAAACCAAAGCAUUCAGGCAGUUCCCACCAAGAGGUGAGGGGCAGUGAAUAUGACUGGUUCAUACUGACUGAGCAAGAGACGGAGGUGAAAGUGGUGUAAUAGUCCUUGGCCUUCUGGAACUCAGUCUCACUGAGUGUGUUCAGAAAGUGAAAAACUGUGUGAGGCAGAACAGGUCUAGUGAGCCGAGGGACAGAGAUUCACAUCUGUAACAGCUCGGAGGGAAAAGGUCUCUGCGGCCAAAGUCAUGGCUUCGUUACACAGGCAGAUUAAUGUUAGCAGCCACAGUGUUUGUCAGGAUAGUGUACGUGUGAAAGCAUGGGUCUGCAGUCUAUAUGUGUGGCCACAUUCUUCCUCACCACAACUCUGAAAUCAGCAACAGUCCGCUCAGCUUAAAGGGUUUUAGGUCACCCUGGGAGCGAUGGUGGGGUUGGGCUUUCCUUCUGACCAUAGUACUGCCUGAUUUGGACCCGGGAACUCCAGCCCAUGCUGUCCCUCUGCAGACUUUAUGAACCAGUGCUUACCCUCUGGGAAGGUGAACGGGGCCAAGGGUGCCUACCGUAUGCCUGCCCUUAAAGACUAAAGGGUGGGCCGUUCCUUGAAGGAAAGCUGCCCAAGGAAUUUGUGCUGUAAUCUGUAUAGCAGAACAUUUUUCUGACAUGAGAAGAGCUUAGCUGGGCUCGUGGUACACCUGUAAUCCCAACUAGGAAGGCAAGGGUCAGAAGUUCAAGGCCAGCCUGGACUGUACACUAUUUGAGUUCAGGCUGGUUAUGUAGACAAAGGAAAGGGUGUUGGGGGAAGGGGUGUCUAAGAUACGUGGGGAGGCAAAGAUACAUGCAGAACAAUGUGUAACAUUUUUUGUUAAUUUGUGUGUAAAAACAAAACUUUUUGCCUUUUUCUUUGUCUACACUUAGAGGCUCUGAUCCUAGCACUCCAGAGUGACACCAUUUUGAAGGGAAGGUUUUCUCACGUCUUGUACUGAAUGUGUCUGUGCAAGUACUUGCCAGGCUUGUUAUGGAAAUGCGCCUCUAAAGGGACAGACACCCUUUGGUAGGCUGGCAGGUGAGAAGGGCAUUAGCCGUGGUUUCCUCUGGGAAGAGGGUGGACACAGUUGGCAGAGGCCGCUUCUAAGCCUUGGCAACUGAACAGGCUUGCUUUUACUCUCACCCCGCUUCUUAGCAAGCUUGUUCCAUUUCACUCAAAUGCCCCUUCAGGACAGCUAAGCUGAGAACAAAGGCAGCAGGGCCUCCCUUCUGUGCUGCUCUCUGGCUUUCUCAGCGUCUUUCCCUUUUCUCACCCCUGGGUAAACUGCAACCAGCACAGCACCUAGUACUCAUUUCUCCUCAUCUCUACAAUAGUCCUGCAGAUCCAUACCCCUGCCUCUUGGUCCUGAUGACAGCCUUGGCAACCCAAGGUCAUCAUACUUUGAUCUCCUUAGACCAGCACUGAGAUGCUUUGCUCAACAAAAUACCUGCCCUCGAACACAAGGAAGGGUCUUCCUUACAGCAGGCACGGAGGAAGGGGCGUCACUGCCACCAUCGUCCAAAUGUCUCAGUGUGACACUAGUAUGUACUCACAGGCUCAUGGAUGCCCUGGAGGCCUUCAGGUAUAGGGCUUCUCAACAUGUGUUGGGUAAUUAGCCCCUUUGAGCAUCUUAAGGUUAUCAGGGGCCGUGUCUCAAAGGGAAAGAUGCUAUUCUUUUUUCUUUUCUUUUUUUUUUCUUUUUUGGUUCUUUUUUUCAGAGCUGGGGACCAAACCCAGGGCCUUGUGCUUCCUAGGCAAGCGCUCUACCACUGAGCUAAAUCCCCAACGAAAGAUGCUAUUCUUUAGGGAAGCAGGACAAAAGGUAUUCUCUUGCCCUCCCACAACAUAUGUCAUGGACAAUGUAUAAAUGACAGGUCUGGGGCCGAAGGUUUGGGUUUGAGCGCUUGCUUAGCAUGCAGGGAACUCUGGGUUGAGCUCCUGAUGCUUCAUAAUUAUUAGAUUCACAUUGGCUUCCUUUUGUUUUCCUUAUAUUCCAGACAGAGGAUUGAUUUUUAAAUCCAUGUGUAGGUGUGUUACAUUAUCUGUAAAUUUCAUUUCAGAAUAGCAAUGGGGACAGUAGACACUAUUUAUAAGAAGGAAAUGUUGGUUCUUAGAUUCAGAACCACUUCUCUGAGGAGUCCAUGGACCCCAGAAGGAAAUCUGCUCUGCCCACGUCUCUCGUAUUAUGGCAAAGGGAAACAAAGUCCGUUCUUUAAAGGUACUUGGAUUCCUAGCACUUUGGAAGAGUCAGUGACAAAGCUUGACAUUUUCAGCAAUAGGUACUGGUGCCCAGCUGGCCUCUUCUCCCUGGUGCUGUCCGACCUCUUCCUACAGCAUUUGAGAUCUUCCUAACUAUACUGUAUCCUCCCACUCAAAGCCCAGACUUUUCUUCACUCUUUCCAUCCCUAGUCGAACAUUUAACACAGUAGGCUCGCACUCAGAAAGUGAUUGGGAAGAAAAGGUGAGACCCAUCCAAAGGUUUAAUAUACCUGAACACAGGCCAGAGAAGCCCAGGAAGAUUGCGUUCAUACUAUUUGAAGCUGACAUAGCCAGAGGCUUGAUUGUCUAUGGGGUGGCAAUGCUGCACUGUACAGGGGUUAUCUGGCCUUCAGAAGCACUUCCCUCCCACAGGUAAGCUUUUACCUAAUCCAUGAUCUCAACAACCUACUUCCAAAUGACACCCGACCCCACCUCUCCUACCUCGCUGCCUCUCCAUCUGGGAAGGAGAACUUUAUGCCUCGACCUGACUCUGCUCCUCCAGCAAAUACACAGGUCGCAGACAGAUUCAGAAACCCGAGGCUGCUGUCAUCAUGGCGACUGACCAGCUCCACAACCUCAGGAACCUGCUUCAUCCGAGCUGCCUGCUGAGGACUGUGAAGACAGCAAAAUGGACGGAGGGAAAUACCAGCCUGGCACCGUCCCUGAAUACCAGAAACCACUCUAACGAUGGAGACCAUUCAGCAGACUAUAAGCCAGCAGCUCCAGGCCAGGCACUAGCCUGUAUCCUCUGCACAGAUGACUGGAACCCUGACCGCCCUGUGGCUCCACCCUCAGUGGGCUCCUCCUACUCUGCCUGCACUUGAACUUGGAUAUCCCAGGGAGUUCCCUUCAGACUCCUGCAUGCUCAGCAUAGGUAAGCUGUAAGUCCAGCCAGUCUUUCCUCCUUUUUCCCUGAGGCCGCUGCCUCAGUUUACCCCAUCUCUUACCUGGGCAACAGCAUGGCGUGCGAACCAGCCUCUGGCUGUCAUGGCCUUGUUGGUAAGUACAAGCCAGUUGAAACUCUGACUGUGGUGCUCUCUGCCAAGCACUUCUCUGGUUCUCAGGGCCUAAAGAGUCAUGCUCUAGCCUCUCAACCUGGUGUCCUGGUAUCCAUGUGGCCUGGCUCCGGCUCCCUCUCCAGCCUCACCUCUUGCUGCCCCGGGCCUCAUAGCCUUUACUCAGUGCUCCUCUUUCUGCUUUGUUUCAUGUGACCAGCUCAAUCCUGCUGCCGUAUGGCGCUUGGGUGGACAUGGCUCUCAUCUCAACUCUGGGGGGAUGGGUGUUGCGCCUAGGUGUGACGGUGCCCCGUGGCUUCCUUUGUUCCAUGUACCACGUUUCUCUUCCCUGAGAGCUAGCCAAGGGACUCUGUCUUAAUAAUCUUGGCAGCCUCACACCUCGUCCUGGAUCUAGCACAGAAAAGGUACUUGCCCUAAAAUGAUCUCCGUGGCACCGUCUUGAUGCUCUUUCUAGUGCCUUCUGGUUUGUUCCAUAGCCUCUUCUCUGCAGUCCUCGCUCCCCUUAGGGCUAAGCACUGGGAUUCUAUUCAUCUCUGAUUGCAUGGUAAGCCCAGUGCUUGCUUCUCAAGUUACGCGAGAAAAAGGUGUCCUUAUGAAACCAGGAAGGCACAGACUGUCUCUACUUAUCCCUGUAUCCCAACUACUCCUAAAGCAGAAGGCAGCCCCAGAGGCUGAGGCAUACCUCUAAAGCAGACCUGACUCAGACCACACACCCUGCAGUUUGGGCUCUCACCUCCCAGAACCAUGAUCUUCUUCCUAGUGUCCUCACUCAGGAAGGGCUUGAUGAGGUUGUAGGCCACUGGAAACAGCUUGGGGGCUGGAAGAGAGACAAGAUGGUGUGAAGGAGAGAACAAGGGUUAACUCAGACUCUGACUGCAUCAUCUGCCACCCACCUCUGCCCACGGGGCAGCUGAGUGUGAGGCUCAGCCAGGCAUGUUUGAGGUCUAGCUCCCAGUCCGUACAAGGGUUGCGACCAACUAGCUUCCUCCUAUGGCAUCACCAACCUGAAUCCUACUGGGCCUGGUGGCUCAAAUGCUCUGGGAACUGUAAAGCAUCUGUACAGGUUAAGGUCAACGUCAGGCUUCCAGGGCCCUCCUUUGGCUCACUGUUCACUCAGUCUGCCCCCAGGUAAUGGUUCCGGUCUCUGGUUCCCACUGGCCUCAUCACCAGAAGCUCCCAGCUCACCUUUAACGACGAACAGCCGCUUCAGCGUUUCAGGAUAGUUCUCCUCAAACAUGGUGAGAAACUAGGGACAGAAUGGGUCGAGUCUCAGCAGCUCAGGCCUGCAGGCCACAGUGCCCUCCGCCCUCUGAGGAAGCCUAGCUGAGCAGUCCCUCCUGCCCCCACAUCCUCACCUCUCCAUAGGCCUCCACUGCAGGUUUCCAGAGGUGCUUGAGGCCGAGUCCCUCACAGUCGUAAAUCAUGGUGAUGGUCUCUAUCUUCUUCCCUAGCUACAGAGAACAGACAGGCAGAGGAAGCUGUCACUCCACCCUGCUGGAGAACUAAUUCAGGGCCAAUGCUGACUGCUCAGGUACACACAGAGCAAGCAGAUGCUGGGGGCUGGGCCCCGGGCUUUUCAUAUGCCCAGGGAAUAUUUCGCUGGGGAGGAAUAUCGACCUAGACAAACUGUUCUCAUCUAGCAAAUGAUGGGGUGGAUCAAGAUCACCUCUGAGGUCCCCUCUGUCCUUCGGGUCCUCCUGAGGGCCUCUGUCUUCCUGUCAAUACUGUGUGCUCCCUGGGUAGCACCCAUGCAGCCCCCAGGCCUCUCACUCAGACAUAGCUGCUCCAUCCUGCCUAAGCUCUAAGGAAGCAUCAAGUUGAAUCCCCUUUGUGUGCCCAGCCUCUUAGGGCUUCUGUACUGAGUGGGUUCUUUGAGAGCAUCUGCAAAUAAUAGUGCUGAGAAGCCACCAUACUUUCACACAUCUGACACUGCUGGGUGGGGGUGGGGGUGGCGGGAGAAAGGUGAGAGGCACCUCUAUCUUGGUCCUCAGUCCUUCCUUUCUCUUUUCUUUUCUUUCUUUUUUUUUUUUUUUUUUUUCGGAGCUGGGGACCAAACCCAGGGCCUCGCGCUUGCUAGGCAAGCGCUCUACCACUGAGCUAAAUCCCCAACCCCCAGUCCUUCCUUUCUUUUUAAAAAAAUUAUAUUUAUAUCUGUGUGUGUGUGUGUGUCUGUCUGCCUGCCUGCCUGUCUGUCUGUGUCUGUGUGUCCAUGCCACAGUGUGCAGUUCAGAAGACAAUCUGAGGAAGCUGACUCGCCUCUUCCACUCCGUAGCCUCUCAGGCUUGCUGACAAGUCUGCUUUACCCUGCCGAACCAUCUCUUCAGUCUUUGUCUUAGCAAGGGAAUUGUCGCCCUGAUUUCUUGAAAGUACACUUGGAGGAGCAGGAGUUCUGGGUUCAUCUGUACCAGGAACACCCCCAACUCCACACUUGCCCAAGGGUAGCUUAAUCCAAAACGAAGAUCUCACUGGUCCUCACGGAAACUAAAGAAGUUCUCCAACAAUGUAGUGAGAUGGCUUUCUUUGUCUUUCUAGGGUCUUUGUUGCACUGAGAAUUAAACGUAGGCCUCUGCCUGUGUGUGAGGCCAGCUGCCUGUUGCUAAGUGACAUCUCCAGGUGUAAUAAUUUAUAGUUUUUGCUUUUCUUUUGCCUGUGUCUAGGGCUUCCAUAUGUAGUCCAGGUUAGUCCUGUUGCCUGAGACCUGUGGAUCAUGGCACUGCAGGUGUGUUCCACUCACCUCGCUGCAAUGCAGGUCGGUUUUUGCUGUGGUGAGUGGGGAACCCCUGGUUUGCUGUGGGGAACCCCGGGGUGUGCUGCGUGCUCCAGCCCUCGCCCUGGGAGGUUUUAUUAAACCACGUGUCUUCAGGGUCCAGGACUGCUUUUUAUCCCCAGGUCUUCCCUGUACACCAUCCCGGUGCUUUGUGGGAAUUCAUCGUGGCAAUAACAGAUGGGAUUUUUAAAGUUUUCUUUAGCAAAAUAAAAUCACGGGAAGAAGGAAGUGUGGCUCAGUGGUGGAGUAGAACACUUCCCUAACACACUCAAGGCCCUGGGCUCAGUCUCCAGGCAAAGGAACAGAGGGAGGGAGGAAACGAGAGAGAGAAGAAAGAUGGAUUGGUGAAUGUUCGUCCAAACCCUGAUUUCAGGUCUAUGAAAUGCAAACCCUGAGGCCGUGCCUCCAGCCGUGUGUGACAUCCUGCCUCUUCCUGAAUGCCUCCACCGUGAUCCACUCGCUCUCAGUGGCAGACAGGGCCACCCACCUUUGCGGUCUGAUGGGUGCACUCCUGCAGAAGCAGCUCACAAUCUCUCAUCUUGGUCCUGAGCAGGUCUUGCUUGGAGGCGGAGAACAGCAGACCCUUGGCAUCCAGUGGGCCGAUGAUGUCAUACCAGACAGGGCAGCCGUCCAGGUCAUACCCACACCGGCCGCCUGACAGAUACUGUUGGAUCACCUGGCCAAAGACAUAGUAAAAGCACCUGGUGGGCAGGCCCAAAACAUCCACGCCUUUCCUGAGUCCCUCCUUUGGGUGCCAAAAGAUUCAUAUUUUACAGCUAAAGGGACUCCUCUGACAUUGCCAGCCUGUCCUCUGAGGCUCCCAGCCCAGUAGACCAUGAUGUGAACUGUGAGUCUUAGAAGCAUCCUUACACAGGAACGGAGUGGGAUAAUUUGUUCUUACCUCUGGUGGCUGCCAGCUGAUGAUUUUGUCAAUGUCCUUUUGCUUCCGGAAUUCCACAUGCUGCAAAUACACAGAUUUAGGAAGCACAAGGUGAAAGCAUUAGGAAGCAAGAGGUGUGUGGUGGGGGGUGGGGUCCUGAAUAUGAAGGAGUAGUCAGCACAAGCUGACCUCCAGACCACAGCUGACCCCCAGAAGGAGCUGAACAGGAGUAGGAAAGGAGGCCCCCCGUUUCUUCUCAUAGCUCAUCGAGAAUAUCAUUGUUGGCUGAUCUGGAAGUAGAAGAACCUGAUAUUUCCAGGGAAGGAAAUGCACUUUGUCCCUCAGGGAUAAAGCAACAAUCGUUGGCUAAUAGCUGGGUCACACUACCCAAAAUCUAUGAUGGGUGGGUGAUGGGGAGGCAGGCGAUGUCCAGGCAAGGUGUGAGUCUGAUGGGAGGAACCGUGGCAGGAAUAGGUGCUCACCUUCCGGAGCAUGGCCUCCGACUUCUGCAGGUCAAAGCUUCGGGCUGUAACAAAAGCAUGGUCGGGGUUGAGCAUGAGACUGCAUCCUUAAGGACUCCUUUCCCAGGCUGGGGCCAAGUCCCCUUGUGGGUUCCCCCCGCCAACUGUCAGCUCAGAGCCUUGUAAACAGCACAGCUCUGAGUUUGUGGAACAGUCAGGUCAAGUUCAAGACAGUUGGGAGUGGGCAGCAUCGUAACCGUGGGGUCAGAGUAUCCACGUAGAUAAUCAGGUAAAGGGACUUAUCUUAGAGAAAGUGAACCCUGGAUCCUCUUAUCAAUUGGCCAUACCCCACAAGGAUGGAAUUUAUCUCUGUCACAGUAUAAAAUCAAGCCCUGAGAAGUUGAUCCACAGUUCAAAGAUGAACACAGCUGCUCUAGAAUCUGGGGCCAGAGUUGGCCAAACAUCCUGGGAAGGUAGAGUAGUUGCUAUCCCUCCAGAAAAUCCUGACAUUUCUCUAAAAGACCCACACAUUCCUUAUGGGAGCACAACCGGUUCUUAAGUCGGUUCACCAGGGCCCACUCCAACAAGUUGCCCUGCUCAAAUCUGAACCCAAGAUGUUGCUGUCACUGGUUACUUGUGGUAACCAGAGUUGCCAUGUGUACCAGUCAGCUACGCUGCCAUUUACACCAGAGACAGGGUUGUCUCCCUCAUCGUACAUCAGCCCUCCCCAAGCAUGAGUUCUGUGCUGCCUCCAGGGCCUCCCCUCCACAGUGAAGCCUGUCCUGGGAGCCUUCAGUUUUCACACUCAGCUUUGUGACCUUCCUAACGGCUUCCCUUUGGAUGUUGUUCCCCUGGUCGGGGGCCCCUCCCAGGUGAACCUCACGAGCUGAGCCCAGGUGUCGUUUGCCCCUUCUCCAAUAAACCCUCACAAUUCUCUUGGCAGCAUUCAGGUAGAGCUUAGAGUCAACUGAAACCCCAAAUCCUUCACACCUGUGCACCAGCUAAGCCUCCGCCCCCUCUCUAGAGAGGCAGGGCCCUCAUCACCACAGUCCCCUUCAUCCCAGCCAUCCCAAGAGUGUCUGAGACUCUGGGCCAUUUGGCCUCUGACCUAUGUCCCUCCUGGCUGCACAUCCUCCAUGGGUUUAAUUGGCAUCUAGAUCUGCUGAUAGCCCUGGAACCCCAACACACAGGCUGCCCUUUGGGUUGUCAACAAUGCCUUCAUCAUGAUCUCUGGGAACAGGGGAACAUACUCCCUGACUCUGCAUUCUUGAAGUCUGAUCCUCUAUCUGAGUCGGGAUGGUACGUCUAAAGGUCUGACCAAGCCUGGGUGUGGCACCUUGGUAGCCUAAGACAGCUGGGCCCCAAGUUCGAAGUCAGCCAGGGCUACAUAAGAAGUUCGGGCUUACUGGUGCUACAUAUUAAAACACUAGCUUAGAAAGAAAGGAAAGAAACAAAGAAGCAAAGAAAGAAAGAAAGAGAGAGAGAGAGAGAGAGAGAGAGAGAGAGAGAGAGAGAGAGAGAGAGAAGAAAGAGGGGAAGGCCAGUAAAAUGGUUCAAAGGGUAAAGGAGCACACUGGGCAUGCCCAGCAGCCUGACAACUUGAGUUUGCUCCCCAGGAUUCCUAAAGUGGAAGAUAACUACAGAGUUAUCCACUCCCCUGCACAUGUGCACUGUGGCCUGCACUCCACACCCCAAUCUCUCUCUCACUGUCCUUCCCCCUUCCUCCCCACACACAUACUACACAUCCUAAAAUACAUUUUCAAAACAAGAGAAAAUGAGAAAGGGUUGGCCAGGCCACCGCCACCAGCCUGCCAGAUCCUUUCUGGCAGUCACUCUGGCAAGCCGGGCUUAGGAAUUUCCUCACUGCCACCCUUCCUGUGGCACCGGCAGCCAGGGCCACUUUUGGACAAAUGUAACGUGGGUCUGUAUCUCCGCUCCUCCACCUUGUGUGUUUUAUCUCGGAGAAGAUACUCUGUGUGCCUGACUAUACCACUUAAGAAGCUAGAACUGCGUGUCCUUUUGUAAAAAGAGGAGGCAGACCAUGAAAAUCAGUUUCUCACAGAAAGGACACCCCUCGAGAGAGGAGAACCCUUCUCUUCCUAGAGAACAGGUAUCCAGUAGUAGUAAAUGGCACUCGUCCUUAUCUGAGGGGAAUUCUCCAGUUGAUUAUCUGCCACAGGUCCCACAUUCAGGGUCUUCCCCUGCUCACCCUGCUCCUCCCACCCUGCUCACAAGCACCUGAGAGCUUGGCUUGGGCACUGACCAGUAGCCUAUCCCACGGCCCUGUGAGCUGCAAGCUCAGCUAUGCUCUGCUCUCUCCCUGGGCUCUUGCUGCCUCUGUUCUGUCUUGCUCACUGACCUUCCCUCCUGGGGUGGGCACCCAGAUCUCACUUCCAGCCAGAGAGGCAGUGGGAACUCAUGUGUCUGUGGAGAGGGGACCAGUAAAAACCUGAACCCCAAAGCACAUACCACAUUCCACAGCAGCAAAGGACUCCUUUAGAAUCAAAGACGUGAGGAGGGGUGUGUGGGAUUUUUAAAAAAGGGUUGGUUUUUUUUUUUUUUUUUUUUUUUGCAAAGCAACAAAAACCCCAAUUCAAAUUUGGAAUAGGGUCUGAGUAAGCCAGAGCCGCUGCCCAGAAAAUAAGAGGCACAAAUGCACUACAGAGGGAAAACUUCCUCCGCCCUGUGAAGCAGACUUUGAAACCAGAGGUGUAACUCAGAGAUAAAAAUGCUUGCCUGGGGGUUGGGGAUUUGGCUCAGUGGUAGAGCGCUUGCCUAGGAAGCGCAAGGUCCUGGGUUCGAUCCCCAGCCCCGGAAAAAAAAAAAAGGAAAAAAAAAUGCUUGCCUGGCAUGCAUCAGACUCUGGGUCCAGUCCUCAACAGCUCAAAUUUGAUUAGGAAGCAAUGCUUGCCUUCAAGAGCAAGCAGCUCACUGGGAAGGAGCUGUGGCUUGCUGGAAAGGGUGCUAGCCCUGGUUUUGCUUACCAUUGUCUUUGUGCCUUCAGGUACGUUCCGUGCCCUGACUGAGACUAAGUUUUCUCACCUGGAAAAUGAAUGACCAUCCUACAAGGGCAUGGCCAGUACCAGGCGUGGGCCCUGGCUAAACUAUCAGGCCUUAUACAAACGGUCCAUCCCAUCCCAGGAUAAGGACAGCAAAUGUCUCAUGUCUAGGACACCAGCUGCUAAGACCUCACACCGGCCUGAGCUGCAGAGCUAUUCAAUGGCUCUCUCUCACACACACACUUCUCUGCCUCCUAGCAGCAGUUCCACAGUCAGAUCAUCUUGGAGCUGGCCCUUUAAGGAGGCUACUAUCCUCCCACUCUUUCUCCACCCACCUUCUUCUAGCCUUACUCUUUCAGCAAAUGCUAGGCCAAAAUUCCCUCCAGCAUAGACUGACUUCAUUGCCACCCCCACACCACCCCUCCACCUCCUCUAGGUAGCCUGGGAAAGGGGCCAGAUCAUAUAGGUGGUGGGGCAAGGGUGGGCAGACGACACUUCCAGAGGCUCAUGAGCUGCACGUGGCUCUCCUGCGUGCACCUGUCCUGGGGUGUUGCUAGCAGGCCUUCAAGAAUAUGCCUGCUUUGUUAAGUUUCUGGAAACAGAAAUGACAUCUCUUUGUCUACUUCGAGUCUUCCUGGGCCCAGAGAUGCGAGAAUGUGCCCCAGGGCGGGUCUUGUACACUCACAUUUACAACGGAGUUCUACCUAAAAAACGGGAGUUCUGCUAGUCAAACUCAGUAGAGUUUUCCCAUUUUUUAUGUCUGGCAAUAAAGUUUCUAUAAAGAAAAAAA